rnacentral:rRNA from 1 species
AGAGCUUGAUCCUGGCUCAGAACGAACGCUGGCGGCAAGCCUAACACAUGCAAGUCGAGCGGACGUCCCGCGAAGGACGCCAGCGGCGCACGGGUGAGUAACACGUAAGAACCUACCUCGUUCAACGGCACAACGCAGGGAAACCUGCGCUAAUUCCGUAUGACUCCUGUACCAGGUAAAGAACCCUUCGGAACGAGAUGAGCUUGCGCUAGAUUAGCUCGUUGGCGGGGUAAAUGCCCACCAAGGCACCGAUCUAUAGCUGGUCUGGGAGGACGGACAGCCACACUGGGACUGGAACAAGGCCCAGACUCCCGCGGGAGUCAGCAGUGAGGAAUCUUGGACAAUGGGCGAAAGCCUGAUCCAGCUAUGCCGCGUGAGCGAUUAGAAGUAAAACCUCUUAAGGUUCGCAAGAACCGUAAACCUCUUUUGCCAAACGAAAAUGAUGAUGUUAGUUUGAGCGAAUAAGCUCCGGCCAACUUCGUGCCAGCAGCCGCGGUAACACGAGGGGAGCAAGCGUUGUUCGGUUUGAUUGGGCGUAAAGCGCGCGUAGGCGGCUGCGCAAGUCGAUGAACAGAAGUCAAACGAUGGAGCUCAACUCCAUUCCGCUUCCGAUACUACGCGGCUUGAGGUCGGCGGAGGCGAACGGAACUCCAAGUGUAGAGGUGAAAUUCGUUGAUAUUUGGAGGAACACCAGAGGCGAAAGCGGUUCGCCAUGCCGAUUCUGACGCUAAUGCGCUAAAGCGUGGGGAGCAAACAGGAUUAGAUACCCUGGUAGUCCACGCCCUGAACGAUGAGUGCUAACAGCUGAAAACCUAACACAAGUUUACGUUUUUGAUUGUAAAGCUAACGCGUUAAGCACUCCGCCUGGGGAGUACGGCCGCAAGGUUGAAACUCAAAGGAACUGACGGGGACCCGCACAAGCGGUGGAGCAUGUGGUUUAAUUCGAAGCUGCACGCAAAACCUUACCAGCCUUUGACAUUGUAGGUCGGUUGCGCGCCGAAACGUGCGCACCCAAUGACCUUGCAACAGGUGCUGCAUGGCUGCCGUCAGCUCGUGUCGUGAGACGUACGGUUAAGUCCUAUAACGAGCGCAACCCUCGUCCGUAGUUGCUUCCAAGCGAAAGCUAGCUCUCUA